rnacentral:lncRNA from 1 species
AGCUGAUCCUAAUGAAAAGGAGGAAUGAGAAAUUUGUUUUUUAGUAAUACCUACCAAAAAGUGGUCCAUAGAGCCAUAUACUUACACUCAAAAUCUCUCCAGGUGACUGGAAGAGAAGCAGAUCCCUAGGCAACACUGGGGAAACACAGCUUGAACAGAAGGACUGAGAGACUAUGGCCAAAAUUGUAUUUGUACUGAUGAGCAAAUCUUUACUAAAACAUUGAUGGUUUUGUUGUAGAAAUUCAGCUGGAUAAAAGAAGUCUGAAUUCUCACCGAAUUACGGUGAUGGAUAUUGGCCUCAGCCUCACAGGAUCCUGGGGAAAGGCAUUUUCCUUACAGUGAAUUCAGCUUGGUGAACCUUUGUUGGAUAACACCCUGAGCUCGUUUUAGGAUUGAAUAUCACAGAGGAAAGUUACCUCAUGCACAAUAUUUUGUUUCUUUAAAAUGUUAUACUUUAUCUACAUGUUGAAAUUAUUUCCCCUGAGAGAAACCAGUAACCUAGAAAGUUUCAAGAACAGCUGUAGCAAUGUAUACUUUAAUAAUGGCAAAAGCAAAACAGU